AAAAAAGUGAUCGAUCUUCCUUGCCUAGAUGCCGUCACGCGAAUACGAUUACUCCCGCGCUUUUGCUCUGAAUAGAAGUCUGUCAAAGAGAGACCACCUCCAGUCGCAACGCUUCGCUCAUCGUCUACAAUUGCACUUAAUUGUAUACAAAAAUUAUUAGUCAUAUUAUUUGUUCGCUCAUUUGUUUUACAUUAUGACAAUGAUAUGAAAAUAGUCUGAUGCUUUUUGUCUGUUAAUACAAUAAUAAAUAUUUAAAAGUUAAUCAAAGCGGUGUAAUCAACCAGUCAGACGUUGCUGCGAUUCUGCGCUGUAAAGCUGUAUGCAUACAAUUGGGUGGUCAAAUAUGCACCCGGUUGCCACUAGUAUUUACAUUCCGAGAAAUACUUGAUUAUCGAUCCCUCCCAUCCCCCACUCUUCGCCACUUCCGUUCUACCGCUAGUAGAAACUCCAUACUAUGAGCAAUGACUGCGUUAGUUUGGCGCAGAGAAGGUAAUCCCCUUUAUGGAGCAGGCAAGAUUAUCACGAUAUAGUAGCGGCGUAACUUUGGCAUGAGAAGUGGGAGGAAAAGAGAGGUGGAAGAGGAGAUUGUGACUGGGGGAAAGGAGUGAGAGGGAAAUAAAGGAUGAAGGAAAAAGAGAUGGAA